CGCGCGCUGCUCCGCUCUGAGGGGCCGGGGGUCGCCGCGCCCCUCACGGGGCUCUGGGGCUGCCGGCGGCGGUGCGCUCGCCCUUCCUGCCCUCGGGAGAGAUCGUUUCCAGGAAUUGAGGGGCUACGGCGGCAGGAAAUCCUCCGGGGCCCCGUGCGGGGAGCGGCCGCAAUGGCAUCACCUCCGUGCGCGGGAGGGUGGGGUCCCCAGCCGCCUCCUCCCUGCUCCCUGAGAGCAUCCGCACAGUGAAAUGUGGAUCGAGGUGUUGAAUCUAUAAGCAGAGAUGGAGUGCCAUGAUCUUUCAAAGUGCACAUGGAAUAGAUAAGGAGAAACUAUGACAUAAGACCAACUGAUACCAGUCAGGAUGCCAAGACUGUGAUUUUUCCUCAUUCACAGAAGAUAUUGAGAGCUCAUGGAUGAAUUUGCUGUGGGGAAGAAGUGGCUAAGUCCCUCCAUUUAUGUGUGCUUCUGCAAGG